rnacentral:rRNA from 1 species
GAUCAGCCCAGCUCCCGGUAAAACGGGACGGCCCGCCAGAGGACCCCUAAACUCUGUUUCUAUAUGUAACUUCUGAGUAAAACCAUAAAUAAAUCAAAACUUUCAACAACGGAUCUCUUGGUUCUGGCAUC